CGUAAGGCUGAGCCUGGGAUGUUUGUUGUACUAAUGCUGUUAUGGCAAAGGAGAAAGUGAUAAAUCCUCUUUGAAUUCUGUUUGCAACUCACUUCAAAAGAGAAAGCUUCCAUAUGCCAGGCCAAGCUGAAAAAAAAUAUACCACGUGCCUUAUCAGAUCAGACCUGCCACAGACCUUUGAGCCCAGUAAUUGCUAAAGGUGUUUCAUGUUUGUGCGGAAGGAAAAGUAAGGACACAUCUACCGAAAACAAGCGACAUGUUUGGUGUCGAAUCUUGCCGUGAAAGACUUG